rnacentral:lncRNA from 1 species
CUCAGCCUCCUGAGUAGCCGGACUACAGGCGCCGGCCACCCCACCGCGCUAAUUUUUUUGUAUUUUUUAGUAGAGACGGGGUUUUGUGUCCGGAAUUGGUGGGUUCUUGGUCUCACUGACUUCAAGAAUGAAGCCGCGGACCCUCGCAGUGAGUGCUACAGCUUUUAAGGUGGCGCGUCUGGAGUUUCUUCCUUCUGGUGGGUUCGUGAUCUCGCUGGCUCAGGAGUGAAGCUGCAGACCUUCACGGAUCUCGCUGUGUUGCCCGGGCUGGUCUCAAACUUCUGGACACAAACAAUCCUCCACAUUGGCCUCCCAAAAUGCUGGAAUUACAGGUGUGAGCCACUGGACCAGCAGGACUCUAAAUUUUGGAAAUUGAUGAUAAAAACUUGGAGAAGACUGCUGUAUUGGAUUACAGGUUCAUAUGUUCUAAGCAAGAGAGAAAAGCCUAAAAUCUAUUUCUCUGUCAUGAUACUGCUCGAAGGAUAAUUCUGGCAGCUAUUGAAAACAGACUGAAGAGAAGAAAGAAGAUUUGGAGGAAUAUGUAUCCAAGAUUGAUGAUGGUGGCUCAGAUCAGUGCUGCUUGUUGCUGACGUUUCUGCCCAAACAUCAUGAAAUGUGGAGAAGAAAGAACACUCAGAUGUGCCCUGGAGACUUUCCUUUUAUUUUUAAACAGUUUUUUUUUCCAUUGGGUUUGACCAACUCUAUAUUCGACUUGAACAAAUCCGAAGGAAAGCUUCCAAUUAUGGGGAACAAGUCCUCUGAAGUGGCUAAAUUCCCACACACACAAAAGAAAAGAUGAGUCUAUGCCCAGGACCACCAGAUAAUUGAGUCCUGUACAAAAGCUUCUGACUAAACAAUGUGCUCUGGCUCAGGACUAUACAGAGAAAAGACACAGUUUUUAAAUUGAUCGUUCAAAAGGAAACAUAUUUAUGAUAUUUGCUCCAUGAUAUGUAUCUCUCAUCUGUUAGCUCAGGCAGAAUUAAAAUGCUAGACAAUAAUGUUCCAUGCCACUAUGCUUACUCGGGUCUCUCACAUUGGUGUACUUCUGGCACAAAGUCACAUGACAUUUGAGUAAUAGCUGUCUCCCAUGUGGACUUUACACCACAUGAUGUCAGGGGCCAUUCAUUCUAUUCCAAUUACAUAAAUCAUAGAUUAGGAUAGGUCUUGGCAAGGACUGGGUACUAUAUGAAUAUUUUUGAGUAAAUGUAUGAGCACAAAAUAUUUUAUGUGGUUAUGUAUCUAGUAAAACAUGCAAGGCUAACAUAUCCUCUUUCAUUAGACUUCAAGAAAACUCCAGCGAAUAUUUAUCAGAAAAAGAAAACCAGGAAAAAUGAAAGAAGUAAUAAAAUUAAAAUCUCGUACAGACCAAAAAUAAAUGAUACAGAGCAUUUAGGUAGUCAGAAGCUGUGCUAACUGGUUUCCAAACAAGGUAAAGAACAGCCUGCUAGGAACACACUGUAUCUCAAAGGGCAAAACAAUAACGUCAAACCUUUCUCCUCUGCAUUGCAAAUACCAUUUGCAUUUCAAUGACACUACACUCUAAAGAAUAUGCUCUACUAAGUUUGUUAGAUAAGCCGCAUGUGCUGUGUUUCAAAUCACAUAGUAAUAAAAGUGUUCCAGUUCUUUGAUAGAUUUACGUAAUUCCCUAACUGGACUACCAUUGAUUCCCCUUAAGAAAGGUAUAUAGACUCUCUAUGAAAAAUAGAGUUUCUUAAAUCCAGCUUCCUAUGUGGAAAGUAUUAUUACUUUAUAGGAAAAUAAUUUCUAGCUGUUUUCCUGUUGUUCCCAAGAGUCUUUCCAAUUUCUUUAUAUAUCUGUCUUAGAAUGUUCAAUUUUCUCAAGCCCCUUAAAAAAUCAUUCUUGCUUUUCUACUCAUUUCCACUUGUUAAACUUGACCCAGUUUUCUCUUGGUUUCAUAUUUUACCAUUCAACUUUUAUUCCACUCUCUACCCUCUCCAACUCCCCUAAAUAAAUUGUUUUUUCAGGUCAUAAUACCCCUAUUUGUUUUUCCUACACAACGGGUAAGCUCAGAUGGAACAUUAUCGAAUGGUGAAAAGCAUAAGUUUGUCUUAGGACACAAAGUUUCUAACAAAGAUUGAUUCUUCUCAUAUGAAAUAACUGCUUCUUUAUACUUUUCAUGGCAUUUUAGAAUACAGGGUAGGAUUGCAGUCCCUGAAAUGUACCAAUUCUGAAUUAAACUAAUUAAUUAAUUAAUUUUCUUAGCACCCCACAGAGAUUGUGCCAUCACUUUUUUGUAUCAUGCUGCCCCUGAUUUUCCUCCUAGUGGGCCCGAAACAUCCAUCUUUCCACGAGUGUGGUCAGGAGAUUAGGACUGUUAUAAAUGAAGUGCAAAGAGAUUUACUAUUCCAAGCAGAAUUUUGCAGUCAGUAAGAUGUUAAAGAUUAUCUAAAGAAUAUCAAGUCAAAUCCAGAAGUCUCAGCUGAAGGUGUUUCUUCUUUAACAUACAGAUUUUAUACUGCCCAUCAAUGAGGGUAGGCCUUGGGACAGAUUUAUUCUAAGAAAUGAGGAUAGAGUAGAGAAAGAAAAAGUCUGAAGCUCUUCUUAUGGGGCUGCAGAGCUGGGAGACUUUCAGAAAUAUGAGAAAGGAAAUAAGAGAGGCAGAUGACACAUGAGUUUUCAUGUUUUCUCUCCAAACAGAUAGGCAGUCUGGAAAAGCUAAGGAUGUGGGCUUUUGACUAGAAUAAUGUUUGGGACUCUGAAAGGGGUUUGCCUUGGAUGACUGCCCUGCACAGCUUCAAGAUGGCCACAUCGGGGGAAACACAGUGGCACAGUGUGGUGACAGAGGGCUGAUGUUCAGUAUCUGAGUCAUUCUUCAUGUGUGGCAUGAAUAGAGCUAUUUGUUCUAAGGAGGGACUUUGGAGGUGGCUAAAUGGAGUUGGAUAGUCUGCCAUGUGGCCAGUUUUGUUGGUGAUUCUGCAGAUGAACUACCUGCACCAGGAGUCUGAGGGAGGAUGUUACAGGAAUGCAGAGAGGUCUACAGUACAAGUAGGAGUUAAAAUGAGGUCAACUCUCAGCCUGGCAUGGUGACUUGGGCCUGUAAUCCCAGAAUUUUGGGAGUCUGAGGUGGGAGGAUUGCUUGAGCUCAGGAGUUUGAGACCAGCCUGGGCAACAUAGCCAAACCAUCUCUACAAAAAAUAAAAAAAUUAUGUGAGUGUGGUGGUGAGCACCUGUAGAUCCAGCUACUUGGGAGGCUGAAGUGGGAGGAGUGCUUGAGCCUGGGAGGCCAAGGCUGCAGUGAGCCAUGAUUGCAUCACUGCAGUCCAGCCUGAGUGACAGAGCAAAACCCUGUCUCAAAAAAAAAAAAAAAAAAUGAGGUCAACUCAGCCACUGAUUACUGCUAGAUGCUGACCAAGUUAGAGAGGACAACCCAGUGGAUUAAACCUUUCUCCAAAUUAAGCCACAUUGCUAGCAUGUCAGUGAUGAUCAAGAGGUCAAAGUAGUGAGUGAGGGCUAAAGAAGUGAGAGCACACUUAAUAUCAGAAAUAUUUCAGUCCAUGGGCAAAAGGAUAUUCUUACCAUGGGUAAGAGGAGGAAGUUUGCAGAAAUCUGAAACACUGAAACAAUUCUCUUAAAGACACUGGGAAAGGCUUCAGUGUCCAAACUGUUUUAAACCAAAUGAGUCUGUUUUUAAUUUUUUCUCCAACUGGAGAAAAUUGAAAAUUGUUUUGGUUGGGGCCAAGGGUGAAGGAGUCUUGAAGAACAUUGGAUCAGAUAUACCAAAUGACCAAUUUGAUAGAUUGAUUGAUUGACUAAUUUUUUUUUAAACUUUUAAGUUACUAUGGGAGUAAAUUCAUUACUUUGCUACAAAUGUUGUGGGAAAGUGGACAAGUCAAUGCACUACUGUGAAUACUUAUUCACUAAUUCACGUUUCCAUUUGGAAAAAUAAAGGAGUUGGGCUGCAUAAUUCUUAAGGUCUUCUUUAGUUGAGAGAACCUAUAUGUAUUUAUAGUCUGUCCUUCUUAUGUAGAGAACACGAAUGUCUAAUUAUUUACAUUUAUUUUUAUGAUAGAAUUAAAACGAUGUAUUAAGCUGGCCUUUUUUCAGACAUACUUGCAACCAGAGUCAUCAAUUUUGAAGACAGCAACCAAGCCAAGCAAUGUGAGGUUACAGCUAUGAAAUAGAACAGAGAUGUCUAGACUAUAGACACAGCCUGCCGUUUUGUGCUGAUUGGUAAAGUGUUCCAGCCAACUGGAAGCAAAUAUUUCUCAGAAGCAGUUUCCUGCUCUCAUCCUCUCCUCGCCAUGCCCACUGUGCCCAACAUGGCUCCAGCUGGGUCACAGAAGACUUUGUCCUGGAAUACAGCAUUUCCCUAUUUAAAUCUCUAACUUUGUAUGUACUCUUUUCAAUAAAAGCAUAUUUUUCAUUACCAUUCUGACCAUACUCCCUUCUCUGCUGGCUCCACAGCUAAGGUUUCUGCACCUGUUCCAUAACUUCUGGGAUCUGUCUCUGUUGCUGCACGUAUGCAUUCCAUAAGCAUUAAUAGAUCCAUUCACUCUUCUGAAAUCUGGGCAGCUUAAAUCAUAUUACAUCUAACGUAUUUUUACUAGAGUCAGUUCUACCCCCCGACUCUUGAGUGCACACACAGGCACUUCUCUGUAAGUUCCUUGAGGUCAGAAAUAGUCCCCUAGUCAGCCUUCUGCCUUCUGUAGUUCCUGGUCCAUCAAGGUGCAGAGUACAUAUUCCACAGAUAAAUAGAUAACUCUCAUUCAAUGCUCUGAUCUUUCCUUUAUCUUGUUUCCCUGGAUAUUCCUCUUUCACGGCUCUUUUCUAUUUAAUUUACCCACAUACUCCUCUAAUUCCAUUCACUUACUUUCAACCAAUUCUUUUCAUUGCUUAUAAACAGAUGUUUAGACAGUUUGUAGACAUGAUCAGUAAUAUGAGUCAACAUUUUAUCACUGCAGGAUGGUGUUAGAAAAUUACAUCUUAAAUUACUUUGUGACCAAGCUUUUAUAAAAUUUGCCCUUAGAUAGCUAUCCAGAG